rnacentral:sRNA from 1 species
AUAAAUUCUGAUACCGUCCUUUGGCAUCGAUCCGUCUUUCGGACCAAAAAAAAACCCAGCAGCCGCUGGGUUUU